rnacentral:rRNA from 1 species
CAGUAGCCGCGGUAAUACAGAGCAUGCAAGCGUUAUCCAGAAUGAUUGGGCGUAAAGGGCUCGCAGGCGGUUUCUUAAGUCUGAUGUGAAAGCCCCCGGCUCAACCGGGGAGGGUCAUUGGAAACUGGGAAACUUGAGUGCAGAAGAGGAGAGUGGAAUUCCACGUGUAGCGGUGAAAUGCGUAGAGAUGUGGAGGAACACCAGUGGCGAAGGCGACUCUCUGGUCUGUAACUGACGCUGAGGAGCGAAAGCGUGGGGAGCGAACAGGAUUAGAUACCCGUGUAGUCCCUGUCUCUUAUAA